rnacentral:rRNA from 1 species
UAAGUCUGUAGUGAAAGCGUGGGGCUCAACCCCAUACACAUUAUGGAAACUGCAAAGCUAGAGGACAAGAGAGGUUAUUGGAAUUCCUAGUGUAGGAGUGAAAUCCGUAGAUAUUAGGAGGAACACCGAUGGCGUAGGCAGAUAACUGGCUUGUUCCUGACACUAAGGCACGAAAGCGUGGGUAGCAAACGGGAUUAGAUACCCCGGUAGUCCACGCCGUAAACGAUGGAUGCUA